CUGACAGGGGGAGACACCUCCUGCUGUGAAACACUCCUUUAUCACCACGCCAAGCUGGGCAUCAGGGACGAGAACGGCUGGGACGAGACACAUCAGGCCUGUCAGAAUGGAAACUCGCAGCAUCUGGAGCAUCUCCUCUUCUAUGGUGCGGACUCUUCCUCCCAGAAUGCCUCUGGAAACACUGCCUUGCACAUCUGUGCUUUAUACAACAAGGAAAGCUGUGCACGAAUUCUCCUCUACAGGGGCGCAAACAAAGACACAAAGAACAACAGUGG